CGCCCGUCGCUACUACCGAUUGAAUGGUUUAGUGAGAUCUUCGGAUUGGUCCGGAGGUGGCUUCACGGCCGCCUCUAGGUACUGAGAAGAUGAUCAAACUUGAUCAUUUAGAGGAAGUAAAAGUCGUAACAAGGUUUCC
rnacentral:rRNA from 1 species